UACGGAGGGUGCAAGCGUUGUCCGGAUUUAUUGGGUUUAAAGGGUGCGUAGGCGGCCUGUUAAGUCAGUGGUGAAAGCCUCCAGCUCAACUGGAGAACUGCCAUUGAUACUGUCAGGCUUGAGUACAGACGAGGUAGGCGGAAUUGAUUGUGUAGCGGUGAAAUGCAUAGAUACAAUCAAGAACACCGAUUGCGUAGGCAGCUUACUAGGCUGUAACUGACGCUGAGGCACGAAAGCGUGGGGAGCGAACAGG
rnacentral:rRNA from 1 species